AUGCUGAACAAGUCUGGUUUGGAGAUCAACCCCAACAACUUCAUCGAUAUGCAGCGCAAGUGGAAAGUUCCAACCACCAGAAAAUUCUACGACUCCUUGGCCGAUGUUGCAGACAGCGUCAUCCACCCAUUCUACAAAGGCAUGAAGAAGAAUAUUGACACGCAGGAAGACCAAAAAUUGUGGGGGACCAGCCCACUGCCAGACAACCUCAUCGAGUACGCAUGA
rnacentral:rRNA from 1 species